rfam:Triticum aestivum genome assembly, contig: Triticum_aestivum_CS42_TGACv1_scaffold_404159_5BL
GAGGUACUCUUUCCGUCCGGAAAUACUUGUCAUCAAAGUAGACAAAAAGGAAUGUAUCUAGAACUAAAAUACAUCUAGAUACAUUUCUUUUUAUUCAUUUUAAUGACAAGUAUUUCCGGACGGAGGGAGUAUGUA